GAUGAACGCUGGCGGCGUGCCUAAUACAUGCAAGUCGAGCGAACAGACGAGGAGCUUGCUCCUCUGACGUUAGCGGCGGACGGGUGAGUAACACGUGGAUAACCUACCUAUAAGACUGGGAUAACUUCGGGAAACCGGAGCUAAUAACGGAUAAUAUAUUGAACCGCAUGGUUCAAUAGUGAAAGACGGUUUUGCUGUCACUUAUAGAUGGAUCCGCGCCGCAUUAGCUAGUUGGUAAGGUAACGGCUUACCAAGGCAACGAUGCGUAGCCGACCUGAGAGGGUGAUCAGCCACACUGGAACUGAGACACGGUCCAGACUCCUACGGGAGGCAGCAGUAGGGAAUCUUCCGCAAUGGGCGAAAGCUUGACGCAGCAACGCCGCGUGAGUGAAGAAGGUCUUCGGAUCGUAAAACUCUGUUAUUAGGGAAGAACAAAUGUGUAAGAAACUAUGCACGUCUUGACGGUACCUAAACAGAAAGCCACGGCUAACUACGUG
rnacentral:rRNA from 1 species